AUAUAAUCAAUACAACAAGCUAGGGAGAAGUUCCAAUCCUUUAUAGUUUUAUAAGUUUUCACCUGUUCGAAUAAGAUAAUUACUAUUUUGUGUAUUUUGGCACAUGCUUUUUCUCAACAAUUAUGCGAGGGUAGAAUUUUCUUCUACUUUUUAUGUUUAGAGACAUGCGCAAAAGAUUUUAUUGAUUUCAACUUCGGUCAGUUGGUCUCCGACAACGGUGCGGAACACUUGUUCAUUUAUUAGCAACAACAUUGUUAUAGUGAUUAGAAAAGAGUACCAAUCUUGUAUGACUAUAAAGUCUGCUAAUGUCGUAUAGAAAUUUUCAUAAUUUUCUGAGAACCUUUAGCUACAAACGAUUCAUGGGAGGACACAAACAUACCACCAAUCGAAAGCAUGCUUGGCUUACAGCUUCUAAUAAUCAUAAAUAAUAGACUUUUUUGAGAUUUCUUAGAAAGAAUGUAAAAUGGUACUUGACACCUAAAAAACAAAUAAGAUUACUUCUUGAACAAAUAAGUGAAUAAAAACUUCGUAAUAUCUUACAAUUCUUCG